UGGUCCCAGCCUUGGGAUCAGUUACUACUUAAUAUACACAUGCAAGUCUCCACCCCCCUGUGAAAACGCCCUUAACCCCUCUAAGGGGCAAGGAGCUGGUAUCAGGCACAAAAAUUAGCCCAAGACACCUAGCUACGCCACACCCUCACGGGAAUUCAGCAGUGAUUAACAUUGAAUAUAAGCGCCAGCUUGAAUCAGUUAAAGUAGAAAGAGCCGGCUAAUCUGGUGCCAGCCGCCGCGGUUACACCAUGUGGCUCAAACUGACCCUUUUCGGCGUAAAGCGUGAUUAAAGUCAAUCUUUUACUGCAAUUAAACUAGAAUUAAGCCGUGACACGCUUGUUAUUAAGAAACCUCAUUAACGAAAGUCAUUGCACUCCUAACAACUUGAACUCACGACAGCUAGGAAACAAACUGGGAUUAGAUACCCCACUAUGCCUAGCCGUAAACUUUAAUUUACCCCCUCCCCCGCCCGGGAACUACGAGCAAAGCUUAAAACCCAAGGGACUUGACGGUACCCCAAAUCCACCUAGAGGAGCCUGUCCUAUAAUCGAUAACCCCCGUUUUACCUCACCCCUUCUUGUUUUCAGCCUGUAUACCUCCGUCGUCAGCUUACCACGUGAGCGCCAAUUAGUGAGCUUAAUGCCCCUACGCCAACACGUCAGGUCAAGGUGCAGCAUAUGAAGCGGAAAGAGAUGGGCUACACUGUCUACUUUAGACCACACGAAAGACUAUAUAUGAAACCUAGUCGGAAGGCGGAUUUAGAAGUAAAAGAAAAGUAGCGUGCUUCAUUUAACUUAGGCCCUGGGGUGUGUACACACCGCCCGUCACCCUCUUCGAAGAUUCGACGUAAGUUCUUGACACAAUUGAGCUUCCCAGAAGAGGCAAGUCGUAACAUGGUAAGUAUACCGGAAGGUGUGCUUGGAAACAAGAUGUAGCUUAAUUAAAGCAUCUCGCUUACACCGAGAAAAUAUUUGUGAAACCCUAAUCAUCUUGAGCUAAAAAUCUAGCCCUAUUCCCUUUUAUGAAGCCCCUAUCUCACCCUAUAUAAACUAAAACAUUUAUUUGAUUAGUAAAGGAGAUUGAAAAACUAAUUAGAGCUAUAACGACAGUACCGCAAGGAAAAGAUGAAAUAAAAAUGAAACAAAAUUAAAGCACUAAAAAGCAGCGCUACACUCUCGUACCUUUUGCAUCAUGGUUUAACUAGUUUAAUCAAGCAAAAAGCACUCCAGUUUGACUCCCCGAAACUAGACGAGCUACUUCGAGGCAGCUUAAUGAGCACACCCGUCUCUGUUGCAAAAGAGUGGGAAGACCCCCAAGUAGCGGUGACAGACCUAACGAGUCUAGUGAUAGCUGGUUUCUUAAGAAAAGGAUUUUAGUCCUGUCUAAAGCAUACUUAAUCUCUUUAAAUGCCCCCCCCCCGCUUUAGUUCCACUCAAAUGAGGUACAGCCCGUUUGAAAUAAGGAUACAACCUAUUCUAAAGGGUAAUUUAUUAAAUCAACCAAUAAACAAGUGGGCCUAAAAGCAGCCACCUUUAAAAUAGCGUCAAAGCUUAUUUAUUACCCCCCCCCCCCAAUUCCAUAAUAUCCACUGAACCCUUUACUCAUAUUAAGUUAUUCUAUAUUAUUAUAGAAGCCACUAUGUUAAAACUAGUAAUAAGAGGCAGUGCCUCUCUUAAAUGUAAGCAUAAGUCAGAAAGGACCCACCACUGAUAAUCAACGUCCUUGACUACAAAACAGCAACUUCUCUAGAAAACCCUGCUAUCACUGACGUUAACCUAACACUAGCACAUUUCAAGAAAGAUUAAAAGAAAAAGAAGGAACUCGGCAAACAUUAACCUCGCCUGUUUACCAAAAACAUCGCCUCUUGUAUAAUAUAAGAGGUCCAGCCUGCCCAGUGACCUAGUUCAACGGCCGCGGUAUCCUAACCGUGCGAAGGUAGCGUAAUCACUUGUUCUUUAAAUGAGGACUAGUAUGAAUGGCACCACGAGGGUUACACUGUCUCCUUUUUCCAAUCAAUAAAACUGAUCUUCCCGUGAAGAAGCGGGAAUUAUAAUAUUAGACGAGAAGACCCUAUGGAGCUUCAAACUAUAUAGCACUGACUUUUACACUUUACUCUUCAGAGUCCUAUACUUAUUCUGCUCUUUUUGACUAUUAGUUUUGGGUUGGGGUGACCGCGGAGCAAAGAUUAACCUCCAUGAUGAACAAAACCACUUUUGAACCAAAAGCCACAACUUUAAGCACCAAUAAACUGACAUAAAUUGACCCAUUUUUUGACCAACGAACCAAGUUACCCUAGGGAUAACAGCGCAAUCCACUUCAAGAGCCCCUAUCGACAAGUGGGUUUACGACCUCGAUGUUGGAUCAGGGUAUCCUAGUGGUGCAGCCGCUACUAAAGGUUCGUUUGUUCAACGAUUAAAACCCU
rnacentral:ncRNA from 1 species